rnacentral:rRNA from 1 species
AGCAGCCGCGGUAAUUCCAGCUCCAAUAGCGUAUAUUAAAGUUGUUGCAGUUAAAAAGCUCGUAGUUGAAUUUCGGGGUCAGCAGGUUGGUCGUGCCAAUGGUAUGCACUGGCCUUGCUGAUUCCUCCCUCUUGAUGAGCCGUAAUGCCAUUAAUUUGGUGUUGCGGGGAAUCAGGACUGUUACUUUGAAAAAAUUAGAGUGUUUAAAGCAGGCAAGCGCUUGAAUACAUUAGCAUGGAAUAAUGAAAUAGGACGUUUGAUCCUAUUUUGUUGGUUUCUAGGAUUGACGUAAUGAUUAAUAGGGAUAGUUGGGGGCAUUAGUAUUCAAUUGUCAGAGGUGAAAUUCUUGGAUUUAUUGAAGACUAACUACUGCGAAAGCAUUUGCCAAGGAUGUUUUCAUUAAUCAAGAACGAAAGUUAGGGGAUCGAAGACGAUCAGAUACCGUCGUAGUCUUAACCAUAAACUAUGCCGACUAGGGAUCGGAUGAUGUUAAUUUUUAAUGUACUCGUUC